rnacentral:rRNA from 1 species
GUGCAUGGUCGUCGUCAGCUCGUGUCGUGAGAUGUUGGGUUAAGUCCCGCAACGAGCGCAACCCUUGUUAUUAGUUGCCAGCAUUUAGUUGGGCACUCUAAUGAGACUGCCGGUGAUAAACCGGAGGAAGGUGGGGACGACGUCAGAUCAUCAUGCCCCUUAUGACCUGGGCAACACACGUGCUACAAUGGGAAGUACAACGAGUCGCAAACCGGCGACGGUAAGCUAAUCUCUUAAAACUUCUCUCAGUUCGGACUGGAGUCUGCAACUCGACUCCACGAAGGCGGAAUCGCUAGUAAUCGCGAAUCAGCAUGUCGCGGUGAAUACGUUCCCGGGUCUUGUACACACCGCCCGUCAAAUCAUGGGAGUCGGAAGUACCCAAAGUCGCUUGGCUAACUUUUAGAGGCCGGUGCCUAAGGUAAAAUCGAUGACUGGGAUUAAGUCGUAACAAGGUAGCCGUAGGAGAACCUGCGGCUGGAUCACCUCCUUUCUAAGGA